CUUAGUUCCACAACAACCAGUCCCUCUUAGUUCCACAACAACCAGUCCCUCUUAGUUCCACAACAACCAGUCCCUCUUCACUCCACAACAACCAGUCCCUCUUAGUUCCACAGCAACCAGUCCCUCUUAGUUCCACAACAACCAGUCCCUCUUAGUUUCACAGCAACCAGUCCCUGUUAGCUAAGACAGUACGUUCCCAAUAAAAACAUAAUUCCACCUUGACAUUAUGGGGUAGAUCAGUGACAAAACAAUCUUCCUUUCAAUCCAUUUCAAAUUCAGGCUGUAAACACAACAAACAUUAGGAUAAAGUCAACGGGUGUGAAGGCUCAAAGUAAACAAAACAUUAUGAACACCUGCUCUUUCCAUGACAGACUGACCAGGUGAAUCCAGGUGAAAGCUGUCAUCCCUUAUUGAUGUCACCUGUUAAAUCCACUUCAAUCAGUGUAGAUGAAUGGGAGGAGACGGGAUAAAGGAAGGAUUUUUAAGCCUUGAGACAUGGAUUGUGUCUGUGUGUCAUUCAGAGGGUGAAUGGGCAAGACAAAAUAUUUAAGUGCCUUUGAACGGGGUAUGGUAGUAGGAGGUGCCUUUGAACAGGGUAUGGUAGUAGGUGCCUUUGAACGGGGGUAUGGUAGUAGGUGCCUUUGAACAGGGUGUGGUAGUAGGUGCCUUUGAACAGGGUAUGGUAGUAGGUGCCUUUGAACAGGGGUAUGGUAGUAGGUGCCUUUGAACGGGGGUAUGGUAGUAGGUGCCUUUGAACAGGGUAUGGUAGUAGGUGCCAGGCACACUGGUUGUGUCAAGAACUGCAACGCUGCUGAGUUUUUCACACUCAACAGUUUCCCGUGUGUAUCAAGAAUUGUCAACCACCUAGAGAAGUUCCAGCCAACUUGACGCAAUUGUGGAAAGCAUUGGAGUCAACAUGGGCCAGCAUCCCUGUGGAACGCUUUCAACACCUUGUAGAGGGGGGUGGAGCAACUCAAUAUUAGGAAGCUGUUCUUAAUGUUUUGUUCACUCAAUGUAGAUUGUACAGUAUAGUACAUUCCCUGAACAAAAGCAGGAUCUAGAUUAUACAGCUCUAUCUGAACAGAUGCUGGCAAACCUAAAGAGUCAUUCCAUUUGAUUCUUGAUGACAGUCCAUGAUGCUGCUAAACCUAAAGAGUCAUUCCAUUUGAUUCUUGAUGACAGUCCAUGAUGCUGCUAAACCUAAAGAGUCAUUCCAUUUGAUUCUUGAUGACAGUCCAUGAUGCUGCUAAACCUAAAGAGUCACUCCAUUUGAUUCUCGAUGACAGUCCCUGAUGCUGCUAAACCUAAAGAGUCACUCCAUUUGAUUCUUGAUGACAGUCCCUGAUGCUGCUAAACCUAAAGAGUCACUCCAUUUG
ensembl:lncRNA